rnacentral:rRNA from 1 species
UAGGGAAUCUUCGGCAAUGGGGGGAACCCUGACCGAGCAACGCCGCGUGAGUGAAGAAGGUUUUCGGAUCGUAAAGCUCUGUUGUUAAGGAAGAACGAGUGUGAGAAUGGAAAGUUCAUACUGUGACGGUACUUAACCAGAAAGGGACGGCUAACUACGUGCCAGCAGCCGCGGUAAUACGUAGGUCCCGAGCGUUGUCCGGAUUUAUUGGGCGUAAAGCGAGCGCAGGCGGUUAGAUAAGUCUGAAGUUAAAGGCAGUGGCUCAACCAUUGUAGGCUUUGGAAACUGUUUAACUUGAGUGCAGAAGGGGAGAGUGGAAUUCCAUGUGUAGCGGUGAAAUGCGUAGAUAUAUGGAGGAACACCGGUGGCGAAAGCGGCUCUCUGGUCUGUAACUGACGCUGAGGCUCGAAAGCGUGGGGAGCGAACAGGAUUAGAUACCCUGGUAGUCCACGCCGUAAACGAUGAGUGCUAGGUGUUAGGUCCUUUCCGGGACUUAGUGCCGCAGCUAGCGCAUUAAGCACUCCGCCUGGGGAGUACGACCGCAAGGUUG